CAUUGACUGUGUUUUUACGUUUGCUCAUUAGCUUAUUUUAUCCUUGCCAGAACCCCAUGAGGACACUUAGGCACAGGGAAGGUAGAUGACUUCAAGAUCCUACGGCUAUAGUCAAGACAGGAAGUGAACCCAGGUUCUUGAGGUCUAGCAGAACAGGUCCAUAGAGGUUCUGCUUCCAGGUCGGGUCCUUCUGUAGAGAAAGGUGGACACAACCGUCUGUACAACCUGUCUGUCCCUGGAGCCCACUGGGGAGCUCAAGUCUAGUGCACGCCAUUUCUUAGGGUAGUACAAAUGAGCAGUCAGCAGGAGCUGUACUAGGAUCUGUGAAUGACAAAGCAGUGGAUUGAGCUGCCCUUGGUGGCCAAGGUGUAUGGCAAGGGAGAUGAGACAUACAAACAGCUGUAAUAAAGGAUCAGAAAUUUUGAGAGCCAGUGAUGGGAGUUAGGAACCCCAGGACUCUGGGAAAUGUUCCCGCAGCUCUGACUCUUAUGUCCUGCCCAUCUUGCCAAUCGGCUGGUGCCUGGCCUUCACUUUCCUUAUCUCUAUGCAUACCUGUACGUUUGAAGUGCUCAAGACCCUUCCUUGUUUACAUUAUUGAACACAACAUUUUACACCUACUUUAAAAAUGAAAAACAGAAUAAUCAGA